AUUAAUUUAUGGAACUAAAUUCAAUUUGUCAUAUGCAUUGCAUCGCAGGUGAUGUUGUUACUUUUGUUCUACUACAUAAUUGGGUUUGGUAUUUACUUAUACUUAGUAAUUGCUAAUAAAAUUUUGACCAACUUUAAAAGCAAUGCUCAGCUCUAACCAUCCUCUUUGGUAAGCCUUACACUUCACAUGAACUCCCACCUUUGGCGAGUUCAUUCACAUUAUUCCCCACAACUUGUUGAGCGAUGAAUGUAUGUGAGCUCACUCUUGUUGUCUCACACCCCCCACAGGUCAAGAAUAGGUACCGCAGGAUGAGGCGCAUGGAGGAUGUUGUGGCAAGUUCGUGAGAGGUCUAGGCCGUCGUCUCCCAGUCAACUUUGGGUUGCUGGACCGUUGUCUCCUUAUAAUGUAAUUACUUAUUUAUUUUGUAUAGAACUCCUAUUAUAUAGUAAAGAUGUGACAUUCGAUCCUGUGCCAUGAUUCAUCAUAUGUGUGAGACUUGGUCCCAGCACACCUGGUGAUUAUGUUCGCGCCCGGGCUUUGGACCCCUAAAACCCGGGUGUGACAGAAGUGGUAUCAGAGGAAUGUUGACUGUAGGACGAAACCUAGAUAGAACUGGACAACCAAUAUUUACUUAUCUUUGCUACUCUGGUUCUUUUCUAAACUUUUCUUAAUCUUUUCUCAUCUAUUUCCGCUUUACUCUGAUUAUUCUUACAUUUUCCUUCUAAAGACAAAGGUGGAUUUCACACAUUGAAAUCUUGUACAUUAAGUGACCUUUAGGAAUAGAAGACCUACUCAUAGGAACAAAAACAAAACUAUUUUGUAGGUAUCUAUACGCUUGAUUGCUUGUUCUUAUGAUAUUGUCUGAUUUGGAUCUUUGAUUGAGUGUGAUGAGUUGUGGAGUAAUGUCCACAAUUGUAUCUUCAUAUACAUAUAGGCAUAACUAAAUAAAUAAAUAAAUAAAAACAUAAGAUGACUAUACAAACUAAGAAUAUCCCCCAUUAAAAUAUAUCUAGUUUAAUAGCCAUCUUAUCUUACAAGGUUCUCUCUUAUCCUAAUAGAUCCAUCUUACCUCAAAAGAUUCUACCUUGUCCUUAUGGAUUCAUCUUGUCCUAAUAAGCAUAUUUACCCCACACUAGUAACAACCAUGAUCUAAUCCAAAGUAAUUAGAUAUUAUCUAGUCUAAUCUAGUUAUACCCAACCUAAUCUAUAUUCUAUCUAAUCUAAUAUGAUCCAAUCUAAAGUGGGUUAUUAACAGGUUAGUUAAUUUGGUGAUAUAGGUUAGACACUGUCUCUACAAACAUAUCUUAACCUAAAUUAAUGUCUUCCACCAACUCGUCCAUGAACAAUGACCUAACCUACAUCACAGGUUGCCUAGUUCAUCUAUUCCAAAAGCAAAGUAAAACUCUAUUCAAACCUACCUACCUCAUAUACCCCGGCUAUUCUAACCAUAUAUCCUUAGCCAUAUGUCCUUAACUCGGAUGACAACUCCAAGAAUAAAGGCCAAAGAAGACCAACCAAGUCAAAGGAGGAUAAGCAUCAACUCAAGUAUUCAAAGAUCAAGUUGGAUCGCCAGAAGAAUCAAGAUCCAGAGUUCAGGAUGAAGUCCUUCCUUAUUAUACCCUUGCCACAACCUAUACUUGCCAUAACCGUACCUCAUCUGACCUAAUGAAUAUCUAGACAUACAAUAUUCAUAUCCUCUACUAACUGUUAUAAACUUGAACAAAACUUUGAUUCCCAAAACCAAAUGAGAAACUAAAAUUCUAGACCAAACCUAUUAUAUCCCUUUUCUUACAAAUCUCGGGGACGAGAUUUCUGUUAAGGGGGGUAGGAUUUGUAAAGCCCAAAAUUGGUAUAAAAAAUAAUAAAAUGAAUAAAUAAAUAUGUCUCUCAUGCUGAUAUUAUUUCUGUGAUGCAUUUUAUUUGAAUCAAGGAAUCAUAAUUUAAAUCGACCCCAACUUACAAAUGAAAAUAUAAAAAAGGGGAAUUUUAAUAAAGUCAUUCUUUUCUUCCCUAAUUAAACAAUAGGGAGAAGAAUAAAUAAUAAUAACAAUAAAUAAAUAAUAUCAGUGUAGGUAGAAGAAGUAUUAUUCAUAUUAUACUAUUGUGUGAUUUUUAAAUCUAGAGUUCAAAACAAGGAUUUAAAUUGGGUGGGAAUACAUGAACUUGGAUAAAAAAGGAAAAAAGAAAAAAAAGGAAAAACAAACCUGUGUUGGGCCCAAUCUUCAGCCGGCCUCCCCACUUCCCUCCUCCUCGCCAGCCUACCGCUCCCUGUCGUUCUCACCGUCCAGUGGGGCCCGCAAGUCAGCAGCCUCAACCGGAGUCCGCGCGCGUCUAUCCAUGUCACGGACACAUGGGGCCCGCGCCGUCGGCCGCUCUCUUCGCCGCGCGCAUCACUCACCCAGGCUACUCUCGCUCUCUCCCAGAAACGCUUACGUGUGGGCCAUCUUCGUCAGAACUCUUCAACCUCCCUGCACCGAACCCGUCACGCGAACCUUGCGGGAUUAGCGUGCCUUGUACCUGGGGGUUGGCCCUCUCCGCUCGGUUUCCGUUGGACCUGGGUCAUGGGGGUAUAAAUUCCUGAGCCGAGGCGCCUCAUGGCCAUACUCAUCGGGUGCCUCGCAAGACAUACGCGUUGUGGUGCCGGGCCGCGGAUUCUUCAUCACCGAGCUAGAUGCCGCCGCUGUCCAUACCCGCCAGCACCGUUCCUCACCCACACUGGCGAUUGGUGGCCAAGAAGUGGUUUGGGAGCCUCUCUCGGGUGUGUGGAUGCCGCGCCUACUGGUAUUACGACGAAGAAAUGGUCGUGGCUCAAGCAAUUGCUCACCAGAGCCCUUACUCCGCCGUGGGCCGCGCGACACCGUGGCCGAGGCGGUCUGCGCCCAUAUCACUGGUAAGAAGUACUCCUCUAGGUUCGCCUUGAUCUCCUCUACGCGUAGCAUCGUCGAGAUCGGAGUUCUAGCGACUAUGCGCGGGUGGGGCUGUCGGCCGUCAAUGGCGCCACCGUUUGGGGCCUCUGCACCGCCGCCGGGCCUGUGUGGGGGGAAAGAAGGUACACUCACCGUCCGAUUUGGAUUGUGUGGUGGAGAUUAGAUUAGUAGGGUGAUGUGGUGUGCGCCAUUAGAUCUAGAUCGUGCGGCUCGGUGGCUGAUCAGGGUAUUUUAAAUCUUGGUCGUCAGUGGUCGAUCGGACGGUUGACAAUGCAUACCGGUUUGCUGUUUAAUCUGGGCCCUAGAUCCUUGGAUGGAUGGCCCAGGCGCAUCCAAGUUACACAGCCUUGGCAUUUUUCCAAUGAGCCCCUGACAAAAACACAAAUUAACCCGCCGUCCAUAUUCACUAUGUAAUGAGUCUUAGGAAUCUUGCGGGUUAGCCCCUGAUCUUUGUGCAAAUGUUGUGCGCGGUCCAGAGAGGUCAGAAUAUAGAAAAUAAAAAUGGAAAAUCGAUUUUAAAUAUAAAAAUAAAUCUAUAAACUUAGAUAAUUCAUAACUUGUGUAUUUUAACUCCGAUUUAGCCCGUUCAAGUUGCGUUGGCUUUGUAAUAAAAUUGUCUACGCGGUGGCGAACCUUAUUUUGUUAUAUCACAUACUUUUAUAAUUAGAUAUUCAUGUACCCUAUGAAUAGUAGAUCUAUUUUACUAAAUAAGGUUAACAUGUUUAAUCUGAGUUAAUAUGGGAUUUCAGUAUAGAUGAGCUUCUUAAAUAGGAUUAUGUUGUAACUUAGAUUAAAAGUUGAGUUAGUUAUGUCUUUUCCCACAUAACUUAUAUUAAUAAAAUAUAGUUUUAUUAUUUAAUCACCUAUGACUUCGGAAAAUCAUAUCUUUUUAAAUGUAACUCCGAUAUUAGUGGUUCCCGAACCGAGGAUAAAGUUAAGACGUGUAGAUCAUUAUUAUUCAGUUUGUACUUAUGUUUGAUGUAAUGUUAAUUUUGCCUAUACACUGUUUGUUUGUAAUGCUACGACUAGCGUGAGGACACGUGUCAUCUGAAAAGCAAGUUGGUAACUGGAAUCUCAAGUGCCAGGCAAGUUGUGCCCUUGAUCACUUCUUUUUACCCAUCCAUGUUCUAAUUAAUCAUAAUGAUCUGCAUAGGUUAAUUUUGAUGGGACCCAAUAGGUUACCCUAGUUUGAUUAUCUUUAUACCUUGUUUACUACUGAACUUUUUGGGUAGUACUUGCUAGUGCUUUAUGUGGUUUUGGGUAUGAAGAUACAUUAUUCAUGAUCACACUUUUAUUAUCUGUUUAUUAUUACUGUUCAUGAUAAGAUCAUUAUGUUAAUUAGAACAUGGAGCGACCACCCGGGAAAACAGUGCUACCACAAGGGUUUAUGGACGCCCUUGGCUGAUUAAUUAGGAAAGCUAGUGGAGGACUACCUUACCCGAAACGGGCAAGGGCAGUAGGGGAGUGGUCAGUGUAGGGAGGUCCUUGGUUGAUUUUGCUGCGAUGGCGGUCAGGCAAGAACCCUGCAUUGGAGCUUCCUAUAAACUGUAGCGGGUUUUCUAAAGCUUGUGGAACUUUGUAAAUGCCUCGUAGUUUUACCCUGCCUCGCCUCCUCGGUAGAGGUGUAUGGGAAGUCGCGAUCCCUUGGCAGAUGGGUAACAUGACUUGUGGGUAAAGAUGCGCAACCUCUGCAGAGUGUAAAACUGGUAUACUAGCCGUGCUCACGGUCAUGAGCAGCUCGGACCCUCACAUGAUUAAUUUAUGGAACUAAAUUCAAUUUGUCAUAUGCAUUGCAUCGCAGGUGAUGUUGUUACUUUUGUUCUACUACAUAAUUGGGUUUGGUAUUUACUUAUACUUAGUAAUUGCUAAUAAAAUUUUGACCAACUUUAAAAGCAAUGCUCAGCUCUAACCAUCCUCUUUGGUAAGCCUUACACUUCACAUGAACUCCCACCUUUGGCGAGUUCAUUCACAUUAUUCCCCACAACUUGUUGAGCGAUGAACGUAUGUGAGCUCACUCUUGCUGUCUCACACCCCCCACAGGUCAAGAACAGGUACCACAGGAUGAGGCGCAUGGAGGAUGCUGUGGCAAGUUCGUGAGAGGUCUAGGCCGUCGUCUCCCAGUCAACUUUGGGUUGCUGGACCGUUGUCUCCUUAUAAUGUAAUUACUUAUUUAUUUUGUAUAGAACUCCUAUUAUAUAGUAAAGAUGUGACAUUCGAUCCUGUGCCAUGAUUCAUCAUAUGUGUGAGACUUGGUCCCAGCACACCUGGUGAUUAUG
rnacentral:lncRNA from 1 species